rnacentral:tRNA from 151 species
GGGCCUAUAGCUCAGUUGGUUAGAGCAGCGGACUCAUAAUCCGUUGGUCGACAGUUCAAGUCUGUCUGGGCCCACCA